UACGUAGGGUGCGAGCGUUAAUCGGAAUUACUGGGCGUAAAGUGUGCGCAGGCGGCAGAGCAAGUCGAGUGUGAAAGCCCCGGGCUUAACUUGGGAAUUGCGCUCGAAACUACUUUGCUGGAGUGUGGCAGAGGAAGGUGGAAUUCCACGUGUAGCGGUGAAAUGACGUAGAGAUGUGGAGGAACACCAGUGGCGAAGGCGACUCUUUGGCCUGUAACUGACGCUGAGGCGCGAAAGCGUGGGGAGCAACAGGG
rnacentral:rRNA from 1 species